GAACCUGCUUCAUUGUUGUGGAGACUUAAGAGCCGCUCCCCUCUCCCCGGCCGCGCAGUGGGUGGGCAUGGGUCCCGGCGGCUGAGCGAGCAGGACAGCAGCCCGGCAGUACGGAGCCGGAGGAGCGCGGCGGGCAUCGGGCCAACCCGCAGGCCUGCCCGGCCCUGUCCCGAGCAUGGAGCCCCUCGCGGCUAAGCAGAGUCGGGGCUGCCCCGGGGGACCGGAGCAGCUGCUGGACCUCAGCGCCAAGCAGGUGGCCGAGAGCUCGGCCUUCGAGCAGGUGCCGGGUGGGGACCCCACCGGGCCCCAGAGCUGCCGUCCCCCUCGACCUGCAUCCCCAGCCCCAUGUCCCUCGCCACCCAGCCUCACCCCACAGGGCACCGACUCUCCCCGUUUCGAUCCCCCAACUCCUGCAGGCAGCCCUCGCCCGGGACACCCCACCUCCUCAAGUGUGAGGCGCCAGGCACUCAGCAUCUCUCCACACCCCAGCUCGGUCAUCCCCGCCGCCCCCCUCCAGUCCCAGCUCGCACCUGCCCGGUGGAGACCCCUUCCCGCUCCCCCAACCCCUCCCCCAUCUGACUCCUUCCAAGAGGGAGCUAGGCAUGGAGGGGGGUAUCGCACAGGUGCACCCCAACCAGCUUGUGGGGCUGCUCCCGGGGUCUCUGCCCUGAGGCCCCGGGGCUGGGGUCCUUCAGGCCCCCUUAGCCCCAGCCUCAGAACAGUCUGCACCCCCAAGCCAGAGCAGCCCCCAUGGGCUCACGGGCUGCCUGACUUCAGGGGGACUUUGCGGGCUCACCAGUUAGGACCCAUGAGUUCAAGUGCGGGGGCUGGAUCUGCCUCUGAUUCAUGGGCUGGAAAAUCCCUCCUCAGUCAUCUGCCAGCUGUAACCCAGCCAGUUGCUGCCCCGCUUCCCUCAGAAACCCAGGCAUGCGGGGGCGCAGGAAGGCCUCCACCCUUCUUUCUUCUUUGUGUGUGCUACCUGCCGCAGGGGCCUGGCCUGGCCGGGUUGGGAGCUCACAGGGCUGGGAGCUCAGAAGAUGUCUGGGCUCUUCUGUAAGCCCCUGGAAGUGCUGCCCUGGCUUUGAGGUAGCUAGGACACAGAGAGGCUGAGAAACCCCUAAGGUCACCAGCCAUUGGGCAGCCAACCCAGACUGGAGCGCAGGCUUGGUGGGGUUCAGUGCCUGGAACCCAGGGAGGUGGCCAGGACUCCUCCUCUGGGCAGGGGCUCAGUGGAACGCUGCACAGAGACCCUGUCCUGGAGUGGGAGCCCCCAGCUCUGAACCUCCUCUGCCAAGCUGUAAAUCAGGGUCACCCUAGAUGAUCAGAUGGUUCAGUUGGCGUGAGAAUUAUGUGAAACCACUUUUUUCUUCCUUGUUCGUUUGUUGAUUUGUUGUUUUGAGGCAGGGACUCCUUCUAUAGUUCAGGUUGGCUUUGAACUCAGCAGUCCUCCUGCACGCGCCAAUUUCUUUCCUUGCUUCCUUUUUUCUGGUCCUGGGGAAUGAACCCAAGGCCUCUCACCCUAGUCACUUCUGUCUGACUUUUUCCCAUCCCCUCGAGGUGGUGAGCUUCAGGGUGGUAACUACAGGCCGGGCACCGCUGAGCACAUGGGGGCUCUGUGUGCUCACUUGAGCCCAGGGCUCACUAAGCUGCCCCAGGCUGAACCUGAGCUUCCAAGCCUCCCGCCUCAGCCUUCUUAGUAGCUGGACUUGGGAUGUAGACAGAAUCCCUAAAAGGUGGUUAACAUCCCAGAGAGGCCAGGCUCCACCCCUGGGUGACCCCUGCUCCCUCCCCCCACAGGUGGAGCUCUGCUCCUGGUGCUGGUGCCACAGGUGCCAGUGCAGAGGCGGAUCACAUUCUGGUCCUUGCCAAGAAGCAGCGAGAGGGACCUGUGUGUGUACUAGUCGCUAGGAUGCCGGGCCGUGGAGGUGCUGGGUGUUUCCUGAUUUUGUGAUUUCUGGAACAUGUCUACCACGUGGCAGUCAGCUUUGACCACUGCAAGAUCAGGACUGUGAGCUGCAGCUGCCCCCGCUGGAACCUCCUCUACUGCCCACACUCAGUGGCCCUGACCUGUACCACCUCUGCCGAGCCUGCCAGGUGGAGCCGCAGCUGCCCAUCUCCAAGACACUGACCAGAUGGACCGAGACCAGCUGCAGAAGCUGGGGCAGGACCUCAUCAGUGCCUGGCUGAGGAGGUGCUGCUGGACUCGCAGACCAGCCAGCGGCACGACACACUGGAACUCGAACCCAGAGCCUCACACCGGUUAGGUGAGCCCUACCUCGGAGCCGCACCCUCAGUGCUUCUGAAUUUGUGUUCAUAGAGACAGGGUCAUGCAGCACUAUCGAGUGGCCUCGAACUGGCGCUCCUCCUGCGUCAGCCUCUCGAGUAGCAGGGAUGACAGCCUCCUGCCACAGGCUGGCCAUGAUGGUCAUGGCGCUAACCUCGCUGGUUCUCAGCAGGAAACCGCGCGGGGAAGGCCACCCAAGCGCAGCACGAGGGAAGGGGGGCCGCUGUCCUUCUAGGUGACUUCUGCCCUCCCCAGGCUGCCCGUCCUAGAGACCGAAUUUCCAGCUGGAGAUUCUCGCCCCAGCACUCUGGACUCUGUCACCAGCCACCGCUCAUCCCACUGCUUCAUCCCGAGCUACCUGGAGAUGCGAUAGGGCGAACUGGUGUCCACGCUGCUGACGGCCGCCAAGGGGACCCCAAGUGGCUGCACGCUGUCCUGGCUUCCAUCCAGCAGAACAUCCACUCCCCAGCUCUGCUCUUCAGGCUGGCGAAAAACGUCAGCAAGACAGCCACCCCGGCCAGGUCGCCUCCGGACGUCACGCUGCUGGGCAUAGCGCUGGAGCCGGGCCUGCAGAUGCGAGGCCAGGGCGGCGCCUCGCGCGAGCCCGCCCUUGGGGCGGGGCCUUGUGGGAGCACCGCCUUUUGGGUGGGGCCUUAUGGGAGCUCCGCCUCGGGGCGGGGUCUGAAUGGCACAGGCUCAGUGAGUAAAGGUUCAAGUUCACCUAGCAACCUCAAGGUCCUGAGUUAAAUCCCUAGCACACAAAAAACAAAAACCGGAGGAAGCCAGGUAGUGCCCUGUAAUUCCACACAUUCUGGAGGCUUAGGCAGGAGGACCCAAGCUGUAGGCCCUCUACUGGGCUAUGGGUGUGGCUCAAGCCUGGCCUGGCCAGCCUGUGGCCUUGGGUUUCAUCCUGAUCACGAAGUGAGGGGAGGGUGGGGCCAAGCCAGCCAGUAAGGCGCUGCCUUGGGGGUGUGGCCUGAAGAGAGACGGGGCAGAGGGCGGGAUGCUGCGCUUCAGGCUUAGGAGCAGAGCAUUGGGGCUCUGGCCCUCAGCAAAGUUCCUGGGGAUAUACUUCUGUGGCACAAGUACCCAACUGGCAAGUGCAAGGUCCUGAGUUCCAGUCCUGGUACCAAAAUAAAUUUUUAUUCUAUGA